rnacentral:rRNA from 1 species
UACGUAGGGUCCGAGCGUUGUCCGGAAUUAUUGGGCGUAAAGGGCUCGUAGGCGGUUUGUCGCGUCGGGAGUGAAAACACGGGGCUUAACCCCGUGCCUGCUUCCGAUACGGGCAGACUAGAGGUAUGCAGGGGAGAACGGAAUUCCUGGUGUAGCGGUGAAAUGCGCAGAUAUCAGGAGGAACACCGGUGGCGAAGGCGGUUCUCUGGGCAUUACCUGACGCUGAGGAGCGAAAGUGUGGGGAGCGAACAGA